rnacentral:lncRNA from 1 species
UACCUUGUUUCAUGCAGAAAAUUAUUUAAAUUAUUCUAUGAAAUUACUUUCAAGCUGUGUGUAGAAGGUGUAUUUGAAACAUAAAUGAAUUUUGUGUUUAGACAUGCAUCCGAGGCUGAGGCAGGAUCACUUCAGCCCAGGAGGUUGAGGCUGCCGUGAGCUGUGAUUGUACCACUGCACUCCAGCUUGGGCAACAGAGUGAAACCCUGUCUCAAAAAAAAUAAUAACUAGGCCGAGCAUAGUGGCUGACGCCUGUAAUCCAAGUACUUUGGGAGGCUGAGGUGGGUGGAUCACCUGAGGUCAGGAGUUCGAGACCAGCCUGGCCAACAUGGUGAAACCCCGUCUCUACUAAAAAUACAAAA